GUCUCUCCAGUGAGUUCCGUUAGUAAACUAAGUGCUAACAUGUUUAUAUAACUACAAUCAAAUCUCUCCAGUUAAAUUUCAUAGAAUAGCUUGUCACCUCUCACCCAUACUCAACUGUUGUUCAGUCAGUAAGGGAUACCUCUCACUUUUUCUGUAUUUGACCUUUUGGACUACCUAUCUGGAAAACAGUUUCCCAGUUGCUGGUUUUUGCUUCUUCAGUUGUGGUUAUUUCUCACCUUCCCACCAGUGAGUCUUUAAUGUUCCCUGAAUAUUCUCGAUACAUAUGUAGGUUUGAAUGUCCCCUUCCUUGACUGUGACAUAAAAUCUUUCAAUUUUUAUUCACUUUCUUUAAAAACGAAGACCAACCUUGGAUGCAGAUAGGCUAUCGCCUCUGCUUAAAAUUUCUAGUGGCUCCUGUGGUCAUCAGUGUAAUACAAGCCUUCACAUCUGCUGCUC
rnacentral:lncRNA from 1 species